rnacentral:tRNA from 1 species
GCCUGGCUGGCUCACUCGGUGGAGCAUGUGACUUUUGAUCUUGUGGUUGUGAGUUUGAGCCCCACGUUGGGUG